CACGUAGGCACCAAGCGUUGUCCGGAUUUAUUGGGCGUAAAGAGCUCGUAGGCGGUUCAGUAAGUCGGGUGUGAAAACUCUGGGCUCAACCCAGAGACGCCACCCGAUACUGCUGUGACUUGAGUACGGUAGGGGAGUGGGGAAUUCCUGGUGUAGCGGUGAAAUGCGUAGAUAUCGGGAGGAACACCAGUGGCGAAGGCGACUACCUGGCCUGUUCUUGACGCUGAGGCGCGAAAGCUAGGGGAGCAAACGGG
rnacentral:rRNA from 1 species